AGUGAGAAGUGCUAACAGAGGCACCUACAAAGUACUGAGGGGAUGAAAGGUGGACCCACCAGCCGUGGGCCUCCAACUCCUGCACAGACAGGGGCUGUGACAUUUCUGCUUUGUCUCCUAGGGGAAGUGAGAGUUUCAUACUUCCAGAGGCUGUGAAGCCAGGAGCUUUGUGCCCACGAGCUGACUGUCAGCGCUCUCUUGCCUUGAGAGGCUGCCAGAUCUCGUGUUGGGGAUGACAGCAAGAAACACCAGCCCUGAGGGGGGAGUCCAGCUCCCAAGGACAAUGAACAAAGUGGAAACAGGGUAUAGAGUUCCUGAUAUUUCAGGCCAACGCUAACUGGCAGACAAUUCUCCCUUUUAAAGAACUCUGUGCCUUUUCACUAAUGAAUUCAUGUCCCCACAGAGCCAUAAAGGAUGAGAAUUUGGUUCAAAUGUAUACUUAAAUUGGAUCGCCUUGUAAGAAUGCUUUAAAAAAUCAAAUGCAGCCACCUGUGACCUAUUAAGACUCUUAAUGUACUCAUUGACAUGAAUACCUGAAGGGUUUCUACAACAGCUGGAACACGGCUCAAAGAUCCUUUGUGUCUGCUUUUUAAUGUACUUCCACAGUGACUUUGUAAAACUGCAGACACUACCACCGGUGUGACUGAGGUGUUGUUUGACAACUUGAGGCCUCAUCUUCCACCACUGAUGCAAGUGAUUAUUCAUACUGCCUACUCCUAAUGCCUUAAAGAUGAAAAUCAAACCCCAAAUAGGCUACUAAUUGAGAGACAAGGCUUAAAAGACUUAGGUAAUCAAAACCUGCAUGUCCCUGGCCACAACCCUCCCAAAAUAGUGUUUUUCAAGCUCCACUCUCCUUCACUGUAGCAUCGUCAGUCCCCUCAAAUUCUUCUCAUUCGGGUCCCAGCAAGGCUCAAAUUCCUUCAUAUGGUGCUGCCUAAGGGCUCCAUCAAUUAAUCUUCUUGGCCCUAGUGGGGCCCCCUGUCCAACCUCCCAUGGUGCUCCACCUGCCCCUCUGUGCCUUCGGUGACUGCGCAGCCUCCUGGCCCGCGGAGAGGCCGGCUGCUGCGGGUUCCACACAAGGCUGAUGGCAACCAAGGCAGAGGGGCUCGUAUCUGGGCCACUGCAGCUGGCUGCGACAAACCCUGUACCAUCCCAGAACCGCCUUUCUACUCCAUCCCAUCCCCCCUGCCCUUGAGCUUUUUCCAUGUUCAUGUCAGUCAACAAGUGUUUAUUGAACAUCUAUUAUAUGAUGAGCACCAAAAUAGGCUCCUGGAGAAUAGUCAUGUGCAAAAGAAGUAUCAUGAAGCUUACAUCUCAGUGCAUAAACAUGUGAACAAACUAAUAAAUGAACAACUGUUGGCAUGAAGUGCUAAGAAGGAAAUUGUUGAGAUGUUUUGAUAAGGAAACAGAGCUAAUGGAGCUGUCAAAAGGUGGCCUCAUUCAGAAAAUGACAUUUCAUUUGAGACCCAAAGAGUGAGAAGGACACAACCCUUUAAGGAGGCAGCUGGAAAAUUUUCCAAGCAAAUGCCGUAAGGAGCAGGGAGUGUGGUACAUCUGACGACCUACAAUAAGCUUGAAGUGAGUGCAGUUAGAGCUGAAUGAGAGAGAAGCAGAACGUGGGGAAGUGGCCUGGAGCAGUAGGAAGUGGUCAAGUUAUGUCUGGGUGUGUGGGUUGUACCAGGGUAGCCAUUAAAAGCAGAGCAAUGGAAUAAUUUUCUUUAUGUCUUGCUAAGAUCAUAUUGACUGUUCUGUGGGGAAUUAGUAGUCACUUAGCAGUUUAAUUAGCAAUUAGAGGGGAAUAAGUACAAGUAAGGAGAGCAGACAGGAGGUGAUUUGCAGGCAUGCAGGUGAGAAAUGAUGGUGGCUCGAAGUAGGACCAGACACUGGAAGUGCUUAUAAAUAAAUGGAAGAUGUAUUUUGGAAUAGGAAGUAUUUGUUGAUAGAUUCAAUAUGGAGGUGUGGUAAAGGAGAAUAUCCACUCCAAGUUUCGGGACUGAGCAACUGGAUGGGUGUUGAUGUAUUUACUAAAAUGAGGACAGUGAAAAACAGACUUCAGAAGAGAAAUCAAGAGUUUGCAACCUAUUCAGUUUGAUGUGCUUAUGAGUUGCUGAAGCAGAACAUUAAGUAGGCAUUUGCAAAUACUCGUUUGUUUAUUUAACAAAUAUUUUUAAGUCUCUAUUGUGCCUAGGAAAUGGGCCAGGUUCCGGGGAUAAAGCAGUGAACCAGAGAUGAUCUUGACCUUAUGAAAUUUACAAGCAAGUAGAACAGACAUGGGCAGGUAUUUAAGUACGAUGUAGGUAUUGAUAUAGAACUCAAGGGGCUUUGAGAAGUUCGAAUAAGGGGAGCUGGCAGUCUUGGUGGCUAGCAAACGCUUCCAAAAGAAGUGAUAUUUAAAUACAGCUGUGCAAUAUAAAUGAAAUUAGCUCAGUAAAGAAGGAGAAGUAUAGCAGGCAGAACAUGUGCAGAGCAUGUGUAGAAGCCUGGAGGCAAGACAGAUCAGGUCUUUCCAGGAAUGAGUCUUGUAGUACUAAUUCUUUCCCCAGAGAGUCUCAAUUCUCGUGAAAACUGCCUGCAGUGGGCUGGCCCCAUCUGUCCUCCAGACAUGCUGGAGUGGACAUGGGGUCACCACAGUUUACAUUCAAGCCAGGUCUCCUGCUACACUAUGUUU